GACGAACGCUGGCGGCGUGCUUAACACAUGCAAGUCGAACGGCAAGGCACUGCUAUUGUGGGGUGCUCGAGUGGCGAACGGGUGAGUAACACGUGAGUAACCUGCCCUUGACUUUGGGAUAACUUCAGGAAGCUGGGGCUACUCCCGGAUAGGAGCUCCUGCUGCAUGGUGGGGGUUGGAAAGUCUCGGCGGUCGGGGCUGGACUCGCGGCUUACCAGCUUGUUGGUGGGGGAGUGGUUUACCAAGGGAUAGACGGGUAGCCGGCAUGAGAGGGUGACCGGGGACAAGGGGACUAAGAGACGGACCAGUGUGGAACGGGAGGCAGCGGGGGGGAGUCUGGCCCAGUGGGCGGAAGUCUGAGGAAGAGGCGCCGGGGGUGGGAUGACGGUUUUUGGGUAGAGAAACGCUGCCGCUUGUGACGAAGCGGGAGUGACGGUAAUGGGUAAAGAAGCACCGGCUAACUACGUG
rnacentral:rRNA from 1 species